rnacentral:rRNA from 1 species
CCUACGGGAGGCUGCAGUGGGGAAUCUUCCGCAAUGGACGAAAGUCUGACGGAGCAACGCCGCGUGAGUGAUGACGGCCUUCGGGUUGUAAAGCUCUGUGAUUCGGGACGAAAGGCCAUAUGUGAAUAAUAUAUGGAAAUGACGGUACCGAAAAAGCAAGCCACGGCUAACUACGUGCCAGCAGCCGCGGUAAUACGUAGGUGGCAAGCGUUGUCCGGAAUUAUUGGGCGUAAAGCGCGCGCAGGCGGAUUGGUCAGUCUGUCUUAAAAGUUCGGGGCUUAACCCCGUGAUGGGAUGGAAACUGCCAAUCUAGAGUAUCGGAGAGGAAAGUGGAAUUCCUAGUGUAGCGGUGAAAUGCGUAGAUAUUAGGAAGAACACCAGUGGCGAAGGCGACUUUCUGGACGAAAACUGACGCUGAGGCGCGAAAGCCAGGGGAGCGAACGGGAUUAGAUACCCCGGUAGUC